AACGAACGCUGGCGGCGUGCCUAACACAUGCAAGUCGAACGCUGUUCGACAGGCUCACAGUGGGUCUCGAUGAGGGGUUCACCGUGAGCUUGUCGAACGGAGUGGCGGACGGGUGAGUAACACGUAGGAAACCAACCCUAAAGCCGGGGGACAAACCCAGGGAAACUUGGGCUAAUAACCGCAUAAGACCACAGGCUGAGAGGCCAGUGGUAAAAGGAGCAAUUCACUUUAGGAUGGGCCUGCGGCCUAUCAGGUAGUUGGCGGGGUAAGAGCCCACCAAGCCAAAGACGGGUAGCCGGACUGAGAGGUUGGACGGCCACACUGGAACUGAGACACGGUCCAGACUCCUACGGGAGGCAGCAGUGGGGAAUUUUGCGCAAUGGGGGAAACCCUGACGCAGCGACGCCGCGUGGAGGAUGAAGGUCUUCGGAUUGUAAACUCCUUUUUGUAGGGGAAAAAUAAUGAUGGUACCCUACGAAUAAGCCACGGCUAACUCUGUG
rnacentral:rRNA from 1 species